AUUUGGCUGAAUCCGAUUCCGAUGUCGACGAGUUUGACUACUCUAAUAAUAAAAUCGCUGAUACUUCAGCUGACCAAGCCCGGAAAGGGAAAGAUAUCCAGGGGAUUCCUUGGGACAGGCUUAGUAUUACGAGAGAGAAAUA